rfam:Pteropus alecto contig64392, whole genome shotgun sequence.
GUCUACGGCCAUGCCACCCUGAACAAGCCCGAUCCCAUCUGAUCGCGAAAGCUAAGCAGGGUCGGGCCUGGUUAGUACUUGGAUGGGAGACCACUUAGGAAGACCAGGGGCUGUAGACA